UGGGUAGGGGAGCGUUGUGUAAGCGGAAGAAGGUGGACUGGGAGGUUUGCUGGACGUAUCACAAGUGCGAAUGCUGACAUAAGUAACGAUAAAGCGGGUGAAAGGCCCGCUCGCCGGAAGACCAAGGUUUCCUGUCCAACGUUAAUCGGGGCAGGGUGAGUCGGCCCCUAAGGCGAGGCUGAAGAGCGUAGUCGAUGGGAAAUGGGUUAAUAUUCCCAUACUUGUUAUGUAAGUGAUGUAGGGACGGAGAAGGCUAGGCAAGCAGACGGACGGAAGUGUCUGUUCAAGCGUGAAGGUAGGAUACUUAGGCAAAUCCGGGUAUCUAAUACUGAGGCGUGAAGAGGAGCGACUAAGGUUGCGAAGUUGUUGAUGCCCCGCUUCCAGGAAAAGCUACUAAGCGAAUUACAUAAUAAACCGUACUGAAAACCGACACAGGUGGUCAGGUAGAGAAUACUAAGGCGCUUGAGAGAACUCGGGUGAAGGAACUAGGCAAAAUAGCACCGUAACUUCGGGAGAAGGUGCGCUGGCGUAGUGUGAAGUCUGUACGGAUGGAGCAUGAACCAGUCGAAGUGACCCGCUGGCUGCAACUGUUUAAUAAAAACACAGCACUCUGCAAACACGUAAGUGGACGUAUAGGGUGUGACGCCUGCCCGGUGCUGGAAGGUUAAUUGAUGGUGUUAUCGAAAGAGAAGCACUUGAUCGAAGCCCCAGUAAACGGCGGCCGUAACUAUAACGGUCCUAAGGUAGCGAAAUUCCUUGUCGGGUAAGUUCCGACCUGCACGAAUGGCGUAAUGAUGGCCAGGCUGUCUCCACCCGAGACUCAGUGAAAUUGAAAUCGCCGUGAAGAUGCGGUGUACCCGCGGCUAGACGGAAAGACCCCGUGAACCUUUACUAUAGCUUGACACUGAACCUUGAAUUUUAAUGUGUAGGAUAGGUGGGAGACUGAGAGCCAUUAACGCCAGUUAGUGAGGAGUCGAUGUUGAAAUACCACCCUUUAACGUUUGAUGUUCUAACGAGGUACCUGGAACGGGUAUUCGGACAGUGUCUGGUGGGUAGUUUGACUGGGGCGGUCUCCUCCCAAAGAGUAACGGAGGAGCACGAAGGUUUGCUAAUCACGGUCGGACAUCGUGAGGUUAGUGCAAUGGUAGAAGCAAGCUUAACUGCGAGACGGACAAGUCGAGCAGGUACGAAAGUAGGUCAUAGUGAUCCGGUGGUUCUGAAUGGAAGGGCCAUCGCUCAACGGAUAAAAGGUACUCCGGGGAUAACAGGCUGAUACCGCCCAAGAGUUCAUAUCGACGGCGGUGUUUGGCACCUCGAUGUCGGCUCAUCACAUCCUGGGGCUGAAGUAGGUCCCAAGGGUAUGGCUGUUCGCCAUUUAAAGUGGUACGCGAGCUGGGUUUAGAACGUCGUGAGACAGUUCGGUCCCUAUCUGCCGUGGGCGUUGGAGGAUUGAGGGGGGCUGCUCCUAGUACGAGAGGACCGGAGUGGACGCACCGCUGGUGUUCCAGUUGUUUCGCCAGAAGCAUUGCUGGGUAGCUAAGUGCGGAAGAGAUAAGUGCUGAAAGCAUCUAAGCACGAAACUUGCCCCGAGAUGAGUUCUCCCUAACGAGAAGUUAGUAAGGGUUGUUUAAGACGAAGACGUAGAUAGGUGGGGUGUGUAAGCGGUGUGAGCCGUUGAGCUAACCCAUACUAAUUGCCCGAGGGGCUUAACUAUACAACGCUGAAGGGUUUU
rnacentral:rRNA from 1 species